rfam:Sphingomonas sp. Leaf339 scaffold1.1, whole genome shotgun sequence.
GCGGGUGUAGCUCAGUUGGUUAGAGCGCCGGCCUGUCACGCCGGAGGUCGCGGGUUCAAGUCCCGUCACUCGCG